rnacentral:tRNA from 1 species
UCCCAUGUGGCUCAGUUGGUAGAGCAUGGUGUUUGCAACAUUAGGGUUGUGGGUUUGAUUCCCAUGGGGGAC